ACAGAGGAGCCAAGCGUUGUCCGGAUUGACUGGGCGUAAAGCGCACGCAGGCGGUUUGGUGCGUGGGGUGUGAAAUCUGGCCGCUUAACGGCCAGGCGCCAUCCCAUACGGCCAAACUGGAGUGAUGCAGAGGUCGGUGGAAUUGCCGGUGUAGUGGUGAAAUGCGUAGAGAUCGGCAGGAACACCCAGGGGGAAACCAGCCG
rnacentral:rRNA from 1 species